rnacentral:rRNA from 1 species
UACGUAGGGUGCGAGCGUUACUCGGAAUUACUGGGCGUAAAGGGUGCGCAGGCGGCUUGCUAAGACAGGUGUGAAAGCCCCGAGCUUAACUUGGGAAUGGCGCUUGUGACUGGCAGGCUGGAGUGUGGCAGAGGGAGGUGGAAUUCCACGUGUAGCAGUGAAGUGCGUAGAGAUGUGGAGGAACACCGAUGGCGAAGGCAGCCUCCUGGGCCAACACUGACGCUCAUGCACGAAAGCGUGGGGAGCAAACAGG